UGUCACACCAGGACUUCCUGAGGAAAGGAAUCCAAAGGAAAGUUCCAUGGCAAAUCAAAGUGGAAAAUGGGAACUCAGGCAUCUCGAAGCAAUGAUGUGUAGAGAGUUGUGGGCUAGCUGAGAUGCUGAAGUAGCUGUAAGAGCAGCCUACUACUCAGGCAGGAAAGUGGCAGAAGGAAGGGCUCAGACUACUAAACUUCCACUGAGCGCCAUUCAUCAAGACAAUGCUGUGCUAGGAGCUGCCACCAAGCUUACUGUUAAGGAGUAACAGCUGUCCAGACACAGGAAGAUAACUGCCAAGGACCUGACUGCUAAUCUCUGGUGUUUUUCAGAUUGCAUUAUGGUAUCAAGGUCAACAUCGUUUGCAAACGCAUAAACAAAUCUGGUGUAGGAAUUACUGGGUGAAGUGCUAUUCCCAGGAGUAUUUGGAGGAUCACACUAGAUGAUGAGUGGUCUCUUCUGGCUUUAAAUCCACACUUCUCUGAAAUUCCCAUUCCUUUGCAGAGCCCUGCAGGCCUGGCAGACAGGCCUCGCCUCCCUCACUUUCUCCUUCUCCCUCUCUUUCCCUGUCUUCCUCCUCUCCAGCAAACAGCUUGGGUCCAUGUGCAAAACUGUUCUUCCAGUGCAAAGGACAGAAGUAUUUGGGUUGGUUUUGAAUGUUUAAUCUCUCACUGGUCUUCGUUAAUUUUGUGUAUGAGAUCUCAGGUGGGCCCCGGGAAGAUGCCUGGCUUCAGUCAUGGUUUCUUGAUGUGACUUUGGGCUAUGUGCCUGUGGGUGGAUGUGUUUUGGGGUGAAAGCUUCUGGUUGGGUGGAUUGUCCUGUCAAAGCUGGCAGAUUACUCAGCUCUCUGAUUUGGUUUGGUUUGGUGUAGUUGCCUUUGGCAUGGCAGCAGGCAGGGAGGCUGCAGCUCGCUCUGCAGCAAGAGUAAGGAAGUCUCAGAGGGCCACACACCUGUGAACUCAGCAUAGCUUGCACAAUUAAUAACACAAUUAAAAUCUGGGACUUUGAAACAAAGCCAGUCAUUUCUCCCGAUUGUUGGCUGAGGCCUAUUUGUACAGAGAGAAGAAUGGCAGCAUGAAAUGGGAAGGAUUACUGAGGGAGAAAACAUAGCAACAGCACAGCCUCGUCACUUAGUAACAGGGAAGAAUUGUGAUGAAGAAGGAAUGAAUGUAUAUAAAUAAAAUAUUCAGGAAUAUACAUAUUCAUUAGAGCGAUAUCCAGAAAACAGAGAGGUGAAAGGCAAUAGCUAAGUGUCUAAAAAUGUUCUUUAAUGAAAAAGAAUUUUAAAUAUCUGUCUCCGCCCUUCAAAGCUGUGUGAUGGCAUUAUCUUCCCAUGUGAAGCUAUGCUAUUUCAUGUCCUCAUAUGUUCCUCCCCCCGUCCCUUCACCCUGAGUGCCAGGGAAGUCUGACAGAUGAACCUUCCUGGAUCGCUUUAUGUUCCCAGACAUGAGUUGCUGGUUUAUUAUCCUAACCACGUCUAUGUGAGUAAUGUUCCUUAUGUGUCGUCAUGCCCAGUGCUGAUGAAUACACAGUGAUAUAUUUCAGCUCCAAAGAGCAUCCCAAUUAAUUUGCCUGUUAUGGUCUUUUGCACCAGGACCAAAAGCGUGUUCUUCACUUUUAUGAUUGCUUUCCUUGCCCCCUGAACCAGAAGAAGAGGAGAAGACAGAGAAGCAAUGCUGGUUAGUAAAUGAAACUCUGUCCACACCUUCACACUUAUAUUUAUUCCAGAGACAUCAGCUUUAAUUUAGGGGGGGAAAAAAAACAACAACAAACAAACAAAAUCAAAACCUCAAUAAUCUGAAAUUCAAAUCAGUUUCAGGGAAGAAAGACUGAGAGCUUGGAAGCAAUUGCAAAACAAGAUUUUACGUUAUUAGAUGUUGUUCUCCUACCUUGGAUAUUUAAUCAAAUGCCCAGGCCUGUUCCCACAUAAAGUGAAAGAUUAAUCAUCACACUUAUAAAUCAUUCUUCUCAUCUCCCUCUCAUUUACACCAGAGUCGCUCUCUUCUCUUUCAGUGGUCUGGAAACUACUGCCCCUUAUCUUUUGGUUCUCCUUUUGUGAGGGCUUAACGUGGCUUUGUAAGUAAAUGUUAGGCACUCUCUUUUCUUGCUUAUUUUGUAUAUGACAAAUUGACAACAGGGAUGAGCUUUUCUCUUCAAUCCACUGUUUUUAAUAAAUAUUUUACCUUGCAGUACUGAAACACUAGUUAUGAAUUUUCAUGAGCAACUUCUCAUAAAUCUUCUUAACAACUCUUCACAGAAACCGGGGCUGUAAAAGCACCAUGCCUGGCUAGGCACAGGUCAUCUGGUAUUUUGUUUCUCUUUCUGCUGUUGAGUACUUUCGGGGAUUGAAUGGAACAUUUAACACAGUGAAAGGUGCUAUCCCAGACUGCAUUCAUCUCAGCCAGUGCAAAAAUUUGAUGUGACUGGAGGCUAUACAAUGUGCUUGUGGGCUGGUUAUCAGUUACUUUUGGUAGAUCCCUGAGAUAAAAAUUGCUCCUGUUUGGGAAAUACUCAAAAGAAUUCACAUUUGUGUUUGGAUGUGUACCAAGAUCACAUUUGGUGUUUUCCAUCUGAAAUUUUCAUAGUAAACUUAGCAGCAUGUAUUUAAAAUGAAAAUGCAUUUAAAAUUUAUCUUGAUGCAUAAAUAUUAACAGGAUUAGUUUUGCUGUGCAGCGUGAGCCCACAGUCCACCGUCUGAUCAGGAGCUGGUGGGGUCAGUAAAUGAGCCCCAUGUGAAAAGAUCCACUGGUGGAGCACAAGGACACUGCAGAAGACCUGAGCAAAGGCUUUGCCAUGGUGUUCACUGCAGAGACGCUGUGAGCAGGGAGUGAGCCUAAGGAGCCACCUCCAGUGGAGGUGUCAGGAAAAGGCAUGUUAGAACAAAUUGAUAAAACCAAACAUUAACAAAUUCUCAGCACCAGAUGGUGUUUACCCAGGAGUCCUGAGGAAAAAAAAAAAAAAAAUAAUAAUAAAAUUCUGAAUUACAAACUGUGUGUAAUCUGGCGCUACAAUCAGCUCUGGUUUCAGAGGGAUGGAAAUGGAAAUGCUACACCAGGCUUUGAACAGGGCUUCACGGGAGAUCCUGGGAGCUCAUGGUCAGUCAAGGCUUUCCUUUGUCGUGGUCACAGACUUGGCUGGAGUUCUGAGAAGGAGUACGGGUGUUGGGAGGAGGAUCAGAAUCAGACCUGACAGCCACAAUAACUCUUUGAAGAAUUUAAUGUUUUUCUUUAUCUGGGCUAUGCGGCUUUCAAGACAGCCUUCAAAAAGCAAGAAAGGCUCCUAAAGAACCACAUUUAUUACAGAACAGCAGAGAUUACUCUCUAGUAGAUUAACCCCAGAAAAGAUAGGGUUGGAAGGAAUGGUCACCUUGUAUGACAGGAGGAGGUCCCACAAACACCGGUCCUGGGCCUGAUGUUCAGCAUCUUCCUCUGUGGCCCGGGGAAGGUGGCACAAGCAAAUGGUGGCAAUGUUUACAACCAUGCUAUUCAAAAUAACCACAGCUCGUGCUGACUGUGAAGAGAGGCUGAAAUAGCUCACUGCACCAAAAUGAAAUUCUGUGUUGGGGCUGCCAUGGGAGAAGUGACUACAUAUACAAACUUGCAAUCUCUUAGCUCAGCAAUGAAAAAUGAAAGACAGCUUGAGUCAUUGCAGAGAGUUUGCUAAAAGCACCCCACCGUGACUCAGUGGGCAAGCUGGCGGUCAGAUCUGAAGCAGGAAGGAUGCUCUUCUCCCCACACUGCCCUCAUGCAUUGAGGAUGCCCAAAUAGAAGCGGGCUCAGGGAGCCAGCUGCACGCUACUUUUACACUCAGGAGAAUGGAAGCAAGCUAGUGGUGGGCUCUGUUAUGUCUUAGCUUCCUCCCUUCCCUGUCUGAAAACAUUACUGCUUCUUUUCCUGAAGAAGGGACACUCAGCUCUCUGCUGUCCCUGCACUAUCCAUGUGAAA